rnacentral:rRNA from 1 species
CCAGACUCCUACGGGAGGCAGCAGUGGGGGAUAUUGCACAAUGGGGGGAACCCUGAUGCAGCGACGCCGCGUGGGUGAAGGAGUAUUUCGGUAUGUAAAGCCCUAUCGGCAGGGAAGAAGCAAGACGGUACCUGACUAAGAAGCCCCGGCUAACUACGUGCCAGCAGCCGCGGUAAUACGUAGGGGGCAAGCGUUAUCCGGAUUUACUGGGUGUAAAGGGGGCGCAGACGGCGAUGCAAGCCAGGAGUGAAAGCCCGGGGCCCAACCCCGGGACUGCUCUUGGAACUGCGUGGCUGGAGUGCAGGAGGGGCAGGCGGAAUUCCUGGUGUAGCGGUGAAAUGCGUAGAUAUCAGGAGGAACACCGGUGGCGAAGGCGGCCUGCUGGACUGCAACUGGCGUUGAGGCCCGAAAGCGUGGGGAGCAAACAGGAUUAGAUACCCUUGUACAG